rnacentral:misc_RNA from 1 species
GCGCCGGCGGGGAGAGGGAGCUGCCGAGCAACGGGUCGCCGCCGGUGGUGGAUGACGCCGGCGUCCAGGUCGCGGCCGUACUACGGAAGCGGUCGUUCCAGACGAUUUAG